rnacentral:rRNA from 1 species
ACGGGUGAGUAACGCGUGGGAACGUACCUUUUGGUUCGGAACAACACAGGGAAACUUGUGCUAAUACCGGAUAAGCCCUUACGGGGAAAGAUUUAUCGCCAAAAGAUCGGCCCGCGUCUGAUUAGCUAGUUGGUGAGGUAACGGCUCACCAAGGCGACGAUCAGUAGCUGGUCUGAGAGGAUGAUCAGCCACAUUGGGACUGAGACACGGCCCAAACUCCUACGGGAGGCAGCAGUGGGGAAUAUUGGACAAUGGGCGCAAGCCUGAUCCAGCCAUGCCGCGUGAGUGAUGAAGGCCCUAGGGUUGUAAAGCUCUUUUGUGCGGGAAGAUAAUGACGGUACCGCAAGAAUAAGCCCCGGCUAACUUCGUGCCAGCAGCCGCGGUAAUACGAAGGGGGCUAGCGUUGCUCGGAAUCACUGGGCGUAAAGGGUGCGUAGGCGGGUCUUUAAGUCAGGGGUGAAAUCCUGGAGCUCAACUCCAGAACUGCCUUUGAUACUGAGGAUCUUGAGUCCGGGAGAGGUGAGUGGAACUGCGAGUGUAGAGGUGAAAUUCGUAGA